CCUACGGGAGGCUGCAGUGAGGAAUAUUGGUCAAUGGACGAGAGUCUGAACCAGCCAAGUAGCGUGAAGGAUGACUGCCCUAUGGGUUGUAAACUUCUUUUAUAAAGGAAUAAAACGAGGCACGUGUGCCUUUUUGCAUGUACUUUAUGAAUAAGGAUCGGCUAACUCCGUGCCAGCAGCCGCGGUAAUACGGAGGAUCCGAGCGUUAUCCGGAUUUAUUGGGUUUAAAGGGAGCGUAGAUGGGUUGUUAAGUCAGUUGUGAAAGGUUGCGGCUCAACCGUAAAAUUGCAAUUGAUACUGGCAGUCUUGAGUACAGUUGAGGUAGGCGGAAUUCGGGGUGUAGCGGUGAAAUGCUUAGAUAUCACGAAGAACCCCGAUUGCGAAGGCAGCUUACUAAACUGUGACUGACAUUGAUGCUCGAAAGUGUGGGUAUCAAACAGGAUUAGAUACCCGGGUAGUC
rnacentral:rRNA from 1 species